rnacentral:rRNA from 1 species
GACGAACGCUGGCGGCGUGCCUAAUACAUGCAAGUAGAACGCUGAAGGAGGAGCUUGCUCUUCUGGAUGAGUUGCGAACGGGUGAGUAACGCGUAGGUAACCUGCCUGGUAGCGGGGGAUAACUAUUGGAAACGAUAGCUAAUACCGCAUAAGAGUAGAUGUUGCAUGACAUUUACUUAAAAGGUGCAAUUGCGUCACUACCAGAUGGACCUGCGUUGUAUUAGCUAGUUGGUGGGGUAACGGCUUACCAAGGCGACGAUACAUAGCCGACCUGAGAGGGUGAUCGGCCACACUGGGACUGAGACACGGCCCAGACUCCUACGGGAGGCAGCAGUAGGGAAUCUUCGGCAAUGGACGGAAGUCUGACCGAGCAACGCCGCGUGAGUGAAGAAGGUUUUCGGAUCGUAAAGCUCUGUUGUAAGAGAAGAACGAGUGUGAGAGUGGAAAGUUCACACUGUGACGGUAUCUUACCAGAAAGGGACGGCUAACUACGUG